GACGAACGCUGGCGGCGUGCUUAACACAUGCAAGUCGAACGGAAAGGCCCUGCUUUUGUGGGGUGCUCGAGUGGCGAACGGGUGAGUAACACGUGAGUAACCUGCCCUUGACUUUGGGAUAACUUCAGGAAACUGGGGCUAAUACCGGAUAGGAGCUCCUGCUGCAUGGUGGGGGUUGGAAAGUUUCGGCGGUUGGGGAUGGACUCGCGGCUUAUCAGCUUGUUGGUGGGGUAGUGGCUUACCAAGGCUUUGACGGGUAGCCGGCCUGAGAGGGUGACCGGCCCCAUUGGGAUUGAGAUACGGCCCGGACUCCUACGGGAGGAAGCAGUGGGGAAUAUUGCACAAUGGGCGGAAGCCUGAUGCAGCAACGCCGCGUGCGGGAUGACGGCUUUCGGGUAGUAAACCGCUUUCGCCUGUGACGAAGCGUGAGUGACGGUAAUGGGUAAAGAAGCACCGGCUAACUCCGU
rnacentral:rRNA from 1 species